GAUCCUGGCUCAGGGAUGAACGCUGGCGGCGUGCUUAACACAUGCAAGUCGAGCGAAGCACUUAAGUUCGAUUCUUCGGAUGAAGACUUUUGUGACUGAGCGGCGGACGGGUGAGUAACGCGUGGGUAACCUGCCUCAUACAGGGGGAUAACAGUUAGAAAUGGCUGCUAAUACCGCAUAAGACCACAGUACCGCAUGGUACAGUGGUAAAAACUCCGGUGGUAUGAGAUGGACCCGCGU
rnacentral:rRNA from 1 species